AAACCGGGGCUAAUACCGGAUGCUUGAUUGAACCGCAUGGUUCAAUCAUAAAAGGUGGCUUUUAGCUACCACUUGCAGAUGGACCCGCGGCGCAUUAGCUAGUUGGUGAGGUAACGGCUCACCAAGGCGACGAUGCGUAGCCGACCUGAGAGGGUGAUCGGCCACACUGGGACUGAGACACGGCCCAGACUCCUACGGGAGGCAGCAGUAGGGAAUCUUCCGCAAUGGACGAAAGUCUGACGGAGCAACGCCGCGUGAGUGAUGAAGGUUUUCGGAUCGUAAAACUCUGUUGUUAGGGAAGAACAAGUACCGUUCGAAUAGGGCGGCACCUUGACGGUACCUAACCAGAAAGCCACGGCUAACUACGUGCCAGCAGCCGCGGUAAUACGUAGGUGGCAAGCGUUGUCCGGAAUUAUUGGGCGUAAAGCGCGCGCAGGCGGUUUCUUAAGUCUGAUGUGAAAGCCCCCGGCUCAACCGGGGAGGGUCAUUGGAAACUGGGGAACUUGAGUGCAGAAGAGGAGAGUGGAAUUCCACGUGUAGCGGUGAAAUGCGUAGAGAUGUGGAGGAACACCAGUGGCGAAGGCGACUCUCUGGUCUGUAACUGACGCUGAGGCGCGAAAGCGUGGGGAGCGAACAGGAUUAGAUACCCUGGUAGUCCACGCCGUAAACGAUGAGUGCUAAGUGUUAGAGGGUUUCCGCCCUUUAGUGCUGCAGCAAACGCAUUAAGCACUCCGCCUGGGGAGUACGGUCGCAAGACUGAAACUCAAAGGAAUUGACGGGGGCCCGCACAAGCGGUGGAGCAUGUGGUUUAAUUCGAAGCAACGCGAAGAACCUUACCAGGUCUUGACAUCCUCUGACAACCCUAGAGAUAGGGCUUCCCCUUCGGGGGCAGAGUGACAGGUGGUGCAUGGUUGUCGUCAGCUCGUGUCGUGAGAUGUUGGGUUAAGUCCCGCAACGAGCGCAACCCUUGAUCUUAGUUGCCAGCAUUCAGUUGGGCACUCUAAGGUGACUGCCGGUGACAAACCGGAGGAAGGUGGGGAUGACGUCAAA
rnacentral:rRNA from 1 species